UGGCGGUGCACCCCGGCUGAUGCAGAACAUGUGCAGGGUUCAUUUCAGUGGAUUCUGAAUGAAUAGGCUUAGGGCAGAAGCAGAGCCUUUUUCUUAUUGGCUGGGUAGGCAAUGUGAGAAACCUCUGGUUGUUAGAGAAAAGAAGGGAUCACUUGGUAAUAGAAGUAGCUUUCCUGCCUGGAGUUUGCAGUUUGCAGUUGAUCCUAAAUGGGAAGAACAAUGAAGACACCCAUCGGAGCUUUAAUCAUGUUCUUGUGGCUGCAGCUGCACUGUGUGAGCCGAGGAGAGAAUGUGGAGCAGAGUCCUCCCAGCCUGAGUGUCCAGGAGGGAAACAGCUCUGUUAUCACCUGCACUUACACAGACAGUAAUUCAGAUUUCUUCCCUUGGUAUAAGCAAGAACCUGGCAAAAGUCUCCGGUUCCUUAUAAGCAUUCGUUCAAAUAAGGUCAAAGAGGAAGACCAAGGACUCACUGUUUUAUUGAAUAAGACGGCCAAACAUCUGUCCCUGCACAUCACAGCCACCCAGCCUGGAGACGCAGCUGUCUACUUCUGUGCAGCAAGUGCACAUUGCUUCCCAGGCACCUGCUACCUGUACUCAAACCUGCUACUCGGGCAGCCCCCUUCCUUUGCACAGACCUUCUAG